rnacentral:rRNA from 1 species
UACGGAGGGUGCAAGCGUUAUCCGGAUUCACUGGGUUUAAAGGGUGCGUAGGCGGGUUAUUAAGUCAGUGGUGAAAGCCUUCAGCUUAACUGAAGAAUUGCCAUUGAUACUGAUGAUCUUGAGUAUGAUUGAGGUUGGCGGAAUGUGUCAUGUAGCGGUGAAAUGCUUAGAUAUGACACAGAACACCGAUUGCGAAGGCAGCUAACUAAGCCAUAACUGACGCUGAUGCACGAAAGCGUGGGGAGCAAACAGG